rnacentral:rRNA from 1 species
CCUACGGGUGGCAGCAGUGAGGAAUAUUGGUCAAUGGGCGGGAGCCUGAACCAGCCAAGUCGCGUGAGGGACGACGGUCCUAUGGAUUGUAAACCUCUUUUGUCGGGGAACAAAGGCGCCCACGGGUGGGCGGAUGAGUGUACCCGAAGAAAAAGCAUCGGCUAACUCCGUGCCAGCAGCCGCGGUAAUACGGAGGAUGCGAGCGUUAUCCGGAUUUAUUGGGUUUAAAGGGGGCGUAGGCGGACCGUCAAGUCAGCGGGAAAAAUGCGGUGCUCAACGCCGUCCAGCCGGUGAAACUGGCAGUCUUUAGUGGGCUAGCAGUCUGCGGCAUGCGUGGUGUAGCGGU